rnacentral:rRNA from 1 species
UGAGUAACACGUAUCCAACCUGCCGUCUACUCUUGGACAGCCUUCUGAAAGGAAGAUUAAUACAAGAUGGCAUCAUGAGUCCGCAUGUUCACAUGAUUAAAGGUAUUCCGGUAGACGAUGGGGAUGCGUUCCAUUAGGUAGUAGGCGGGGUAACGGCCCACCUAGUCUUCGAUGGAUAGGGGUUCUGAGAGGAAGGUCCCCCACAUUGGAACUGAGACACGGUCCAG